UUUCCGUAGGUGAACCUGCGGAAGGAUCAUUACUGAAAUGUAAUAACUUCUAUUGAAAGGUUCCAGAGUAGGCGCUACAACGCCGAAAUGACCUUCUCACCCUUGUGUACUCACUAUGUUGCUUUGGCGGGUCGACCUGGUUCCGACCCAGGCGGCCGGCGCCCCCAGCCUUAACUGGCCAGGACGCCCGGCUAAGUGCCCGCCAGUAUACAAAACUCCGGCGAUUAUCUCGUGUAGUCCUGAGAAUUUAUUCAAUGAAUUAAAACUUUCAACAACGGAUCUCUUGGUUCUGGCAUCGAUGAAGAACGCAGC
rnacentral:misc_RNA from 1 species